rnacentral:rRNA from 1 species
UCGACCAUAGGAUGAGGAAAAUAGGGCUUCCCGUCCGCUCAGCCGUACUCAACCCUCAUGCCGGUUGGUUAGUACUGAGGUGGGUGACCACUUGGGAAUCCUGACUGUUGAUUGUU